rnacentral:rRNA from 1 species
CAAUAGCGUAUAUUAAAGUUGUUGCAGUUAAAAAGCUCGUAGUUGGAUUUCUGGUAGGAGUGACCGUUCCGAACUUGAUUGUUCGUGUAUUGUGUUUUCUCCAGCCAUCCUUGUGGAGAACUUUUCUUGCAUUAAUUUGUAGGGAUUGGGACCCGCAUCGUUUGCUGUGAAAAAAUUAGAGUGUUUAAAGCAGGCAAUCGCUUGAAUACACUAGCAUGGAAUAAUAAGAUAGGACUUUGGUACUAUUUUGUUGGUUUGCAUACCAAAUUAAUGAUCAACAGGAACAGUUUGAGGAUAUUCGUAUGAACAUGUCAGAGGUGAAAUUCUUGGAUUUUGAUCAGACGAACUACUGCGAAAGCAUUUAUCAAGGAUGUUUUCAUUAA